rnacentral:rRNA from 1 species
GAUGAACGCUGGCGGCGUGCCUAAUACAUGCAAGUCGAGCGAACAGACGAGGAGCUUGCUCCUCUGACGUUAGCGGCGGACGGGUGAGUAACACGUGGAUAACCUACCUAUAAGACUGGGAUAACUUCGGGAAACCGGAGCUAAUACCGGAUAACAUGUUGAACCGCAUGGUUCAACAGUGAAAGACGGUCUUGCUGUCACUUAUAGAUGGAUCCGCGCCGCAUUAGCUAGUUGGUAAGGUAACGGCUUACCAAGGCGACGAUGCGUAGCCGACCUGAGAGGGUGAUCGGCCACACUGGAACUGAGACACGGUCCAGACUCCUACGGGAGGCAGCAGUAGGGAAUCUUCCGCAAAGGGCGAAAGCCUGACGGAGCAACGCCGCGUGAGUGAAGAAGGUCUUCGGAUCGUAAAACUCUGUUAUUAGGGAAGAACAAAUGUGUAAGUAACUAUGCACGUCUUGACGGUACCUAAUCAGAAAGCCACGGCUAACUACGUG